AUUGAACGCUGGCGGCAUGCCUUACACAUGCAAGUCGAACGGCAGCACGGGGGCAACCCUGGUGGCGAGUGGCGAACGGGUGAGUAAUGCAUCGGAACGUGCCCAUUAGUGGGGGAUAACCCGGCGAAAGCCGGGCUAAUACCGCAUACGACCUACGGGUGAAAGCGGGGGACCGUAAGGCCUCGCGCUAUUGGAGCGGCCGAUGUCUGAUUAGCUAGUUGGCGGGGUAAGAGCCCACCAAGGCGACGAUCAGUAGCUGGUCUGAGAGGACGAUCAGCCACACCGGAACUGAGACACGGUCCGGACUCCUACGGGAGGUG
rnacentral:rRNA from 1 species